rnacentral:lncRNA from 1 species
GACAAAUCCUAAGUGCGUUAAAGUAAAAUUUUAAGACCAAAAGCACAUGAAUGCACUCAGUUAUGAUAAUGUGAGAUGAUACAGUAUUUUCUUUUUGCUUUCAAUUUAAUCAUUUACUGUAAAUAUAAUAUGUUCAGUGAAAACUUUAUUUAUUAAAGCUAAGAUGAAAAGGCUUUUCUUCACAGGCCUGUAAGCUCCCCAAAUUCUAAAGCCUGUGAGUUUUUCUUGCUCUGUAUUUCAUUUACAUGAACUUUUCCCUCAAUGUUAUAAAUUAUAAAUGCUUGUGGUAAAAUGAAAACAUGGAAACACACAAUGAAUAAAUAUUUCAUUUACCGAGGAUUUAUCACUCAAUAUCUUAGUGUAUUACAGAUAGUCUCAUAUUUAUUUAAAUGUGAGAUUAUAAUAAUUUGGAAACCUAUCCUAGUUUUAAAAUACUACUAUAGUUUAUGUCUUUUCCCAUUUAAUUAAAGUUUUCAAAAUAAAAUGAUUGCAUGAUAUUCCAUCAUCAUAUCACAAUAGUGAUAGCUGCUGGUUAUUGAUAUACUGAUGAGCCAAGCAGUAAGCUAGGAUCUUUAUGUGAAUUAUAUAAUUUAUUCCUAAUUUGUCCUUAUUUGAUAUGCUAGAAAUUUGAGGUUUCUGUGAUUUCCCAAGGUAACACAGCAAGAACAAAGCUGAGAUUUGGAUCCACGUCUUUCUGACUGCGAAGUCUGUGUGUGAUCAUUGUUUCCAUUGUCCUCAAUUAUGGUACAUUGUAUCACAGUAAUGGAUCAUACAUCAUUUAAUUACUUCCCUGUCAUGGAACAUUUAGUUUAUUUUCAGUUAUUCAUAUAUUUAAUGCCACUGAGACAAACAUCCUUGCAUGUGAGUAGAAUCUUUACACUAUUCUCUUACUUCUUUUGGAUAAAUCCCUUUUACUUGAUUUCAUUGGUAAUUCUGCAUCACAUCUUGUGUAUAUUGACACCCUCUGCUCCUUUCACCUCUGGCUUUCUGAGCCUCUCAUUCCCUAUUGGUUAACUCAUGUCCUUGGUGCCUGGGAGUUUUCCAAUUGGCCCUGUUCCCAGGGGAACACUCCUUAAGCUGAAAAGUCUCGUCUCUACCCUCAUCUCCCAUCCCUGAUUCACAGGCCCCUCUGAAGCUCCUGGCCGCCACAGUCAGUGAGCAUUACCUGUUACCCCACCUGACACAGGUCCCCACACAACAGCACAGUGAUGCCAAACAGUUGCUGCCUUCUGGACAGUCACUUGUUCCACCUGCUGUUGACCUUUCUAGUUCUAUUUAUCUCUGGAGAUUUGGCAAUUCUGAUUUUUAAAAAUAUAUGCAACUUACUUUGCAUACAUCUUCUUGACUAGCAGCAUUUAUGUGGCAAAACUUGUUAAUUUUUAUUAAAUGUUUUCUGUGUGGCUUUGUUCUGCAUUCCUACCUUAAGACUAUUUCUCUCGUUCACAUGCAUGUAGAAAGUAGAAACCACAGGGAACAAUGUACAUUCUGAAAUGCUUAAUUUGCAGACAUUGUGAAAUUUUACUCAUCAAUGUGUUUCAACUCUUUGGUACAUUUCUAGCAUUUUGCUUAAUUGAAAAGCAGUGAGUGUUCUGCUCUGUCCUCUCCCUUGAAUCCUAACAAAAUAAGUAAACAGAAAAGAUGUGGCUAGCAGAAACUCCACAAUUCUAACCUCUCAGCUAUGCCCAGAUUUUCUGUAGGGAUACAAAGGUACAGUCACAAAGGGAAGAGAGAAUGAAACAAAACAGCCCUUGCCAUUUCCCAUGCACCAACUAUCACUCCAUACGGAGGCACAUCAGUGAGUAUCUCUUCUUUAAUCUCACGUAUACCUAGAAUUUAGGAUAUACCAAAUGGCUUGAGAAGAAUAUGCUCCAAAUCCAUGACACAGUAAAAUUCCUCUAUAAAACAAGAUUUAGGGUGUGUUCUUUUAAAUUAAAGUGCUCUGUUUACCUGACUAGCUAUUUCAAAGCUCUAGCUUCUUUUUGUUGCCUGUUUUUUAGCAUUAUGCUCUUUUGUUUUACCUUAAGACUCUAUAUUGCAUGUCUUAUUUGAAAUAUCUAAAGUUUAAAAUGCAGCCUCAUAAUGUAUCUAUUUGCUUAAUUUAAAACAUUUAAGCAAAAGUAAUAGGUUCUGCUUCUUAGCUAUUGAUGGGAUAAAGAACACAAGGACAGGUGGGGAGAGAAGAGCUUCUUGGAAGAAAGAUCAGAUCCUACUUCUCAAGAUUUCAGUCCUCAAACCUAGAAAACCAGAACUGGUGAAGAGGAAAUAAUAAAGGGGGUCAUACAACUGAUCCCCUCUCCCCAGAAAGCAAAACACAUAGGUCUGUCCUACAUGUCCUACGUGAGAAGAGCAGGGCUGGGAACUACCUCUUACGUGUUAUCUUCCAAGUGACAUUAUCAGUUCACAGCACAAUAUAGGCAUUGCCUCUGAGGCUCAUUGCUAUGCAUUUCUUUCCCUAUUCUCUACUUCUUGUGUGAAGAUUUUCUUCUCUCAGGGCACACAUGAGCACGGUGGUUUCCUGUUACAGAAUGUUCUCCCAGCCUAACAUGGAAAAAGCUCGUAGAUGUAUGCCACUUUCUUUGCUUUGUGGUUUCUCAAGAUAUUUUUUGAAGCAAGGCCUGACUUACAACAUUUUAUAAAUAACUAAUGGGAAUUUUGGCAAACUCAUAAGAAUCAUUUCUUGAAUUUCUAAACAUAAGUGGUUUUUAGUUGCUUUUCCUCAGGUGGUUAGAGAGUGGCCUUUUGGUUAAAAAAAAAAAAUUCACUGCAGUGUUUGAACCUGGCAAUGAUGAAGUGACAGUCGCAAACAUAAUUUUCACAUUGGCUAAAAAUUUUCAAGUUGAGAAAAAGAAUUCUUUAGGCAAUAUGCAGUCUGAUCUUAGCCAGGUACCUAACACACAUGUGCAUUUAUUCAUUCAUCCAUUUAUUCAUCACACACCAAAUAUAUUCAGUGUCUACUGCUCUACAUGUUAGGCAUACAGUGGUCAAGAAGACAGAGGAGAACCCUUGGGGGUUACAUUUCAAUAUGGGGCAAUUAUUGGUGGCUACAAGUAGGUUCGUGCAAUUAUUGGUGGUAGGAUUUGAGCUGGCCUGAACCACAAUAUUCAGACACUACCCCUUCUGUCUGCCCCUCUCACUAUCCCAAGGGAGAAGGGAUUCCAAAAUCUCAACACUUCACUUUCCUGUAUUAAGCUGUGAAUGCAAACAAUUGUUCUAGUCAUUCAAUGUCUUCUGAGGAAAAACAAUUCAGUGCAGAAUCUAACAUACACCAUGUCUAUCAUGUAAAAUUUAUGCCACAGAAAAUUAGUAUGUGCUGAGAAUAAAAAACCUAACUUUUAUUAUUUCUCUUUUUUCCUUUAUGACCUGGGCAAUAUAAUUUGAUGAAUCAAAAUUUGGCCAGGCACAGUGGCUUAUGCCUGUAAUCCCAGCACUUUGGGAGGCCAAGUGCUGACAGAUCACUUGAGGUCAGGAGUUCAAGACCAGCCUGGCCAACAUGGUGAAACCCUUUCUCUGCUAAAAAUACAAAAAUUAACCAGGCGUGGUGGUAGGUGCCUGUAAUCCCAGCUACUCAGGAGGCUGAGGCAGAAGAAUUGCUUGAACCUGGGAGGCAGAGGUUGCAGUGAGCCAUGAUCAUGCCACUGCACUCCAGCCUAGGUGACAGAGUGAGAUUCCGUCUCAAAAAAAAAAAAAAAAAAAUUAAUGGCCAGAGUUGUAUAGGCAUGCAAUUGUGAACACCUUUCUUGGUCCUUAGUGUCCUACAUGAAAGAAAAGAAACACACACACAAACCUGUAGAUGAAAACUUUACAGCCAUGUGCUCUAGACACACAAAUGUCUAGGCGGUAGUAUUUUUACUAGAUCCUCAAAAAGUAAUAUUUUUACAAAGAAAGAGACAAUGAGUAAAGACAUUGUAAAAAGAGAACUAAUCAUGAGCAAGGCACAAAUUGAAAAAUGAAGGAUACAAGGAGAUUGGGGAAAUUAGUACAGAAGGUCCUCAACUUAAGAUGGCUCGAUCUGAUAUUUCAACUUUAUGAUGGUGUCAAAGAAAUAUGCAUUCAGCAUUCUCCUACACUUAUGAGACUACAUCCCAAUAAGCUUAUUUUAAGUUGAACAUAUGGUAAAUGGAAAAUGCUGUUUUGAUUUGUAAUAUUUUCAAUUUACCAUGGGUUUAUCAGGAUGUAACCCCAUCAUAAGUCAAGAAGCAUCUGUAUUUAAAAGUGAUUUUGUGUUUAGAAUUUAUCCUCUAAAACCCUAUAGAAAGCUCUUAGGCAGAAUGGCAUGAUCAUAUCUGCUCUUUGAUGGCCCUUGAAAAAAGAGAAGAGGGAAGAAAUUGGAAGCAUAAACACCAUUGGAGCUGAGUGAUGCUGAAGAUUUAAUCUGGGGUACUGGCGGGGGGGAAUAUUGAUCAGGAAUGAAGUGAAGAGUGGGAACAGCUGACAUAGGGUACACCUCAACCUCAUGAAUGCUUGGAUUGGGAGUAGCAGAAGCAGAAGUUCACUCACUAGUGUCCUGAAGUUCUUUCACAUCAUCUGAAGCUUUUUAAAAACAUGCAUUAUGCACUUACUAUGUGCCAGGCAUUGUGUGAUGUGUUUUACAGGCAUUAGCCCACUCCUUACAUCCACCGUGUCUUGACUUGCAUUCAAGUGUGUGGGUGGGGAGAGUGGCUGAUUCAUCUUGCACUUUCUCAUAGAAGCACAGUCCUUCUAGUCUCUGUUUUAAAAGGCUACAUAUGACUGCACUGGGAAGGCAUCAAAUGACUACAGUACAAACAAAGUAUUUAAUGAAUGAAAUUGUGUCUACAAUUCUCAAAAGUUUGGCAGUUUUUGGCAAAAAAUAGAGGAUGCUAUGGAAAGAAGAGAGAGGAAUCAAGGAUUCUCUGUUUCAAGCCUAAGUAAGUGGAAGAAGGGCACCAUUGUGUAAAUAACUCAGGAGAACCUGAUUUGAUGUGGUAGUAUGUGUUUGUCUUUUUGCAUGAGUUUGAAGUGCUAGGUUAACAGGGGGCUCGCAGGGGAGCUGAUAUAAGAGCUGUAGGUUUAUACGGAUAUCAGGUAACUUCUUAGGGCUUUGAAUAUUUAAGGAGGUGAAAAACAAGAUGAUUCUAGGCACAAAGAAGGGAAAGCAUUUUAUUUUGGAGAUGAUACUAAAGGGGCUGAUCAGAGCAAAGUCAGUUGUCAAGACUUCAAUCUGGAGUCCAGGAAUGGAGAUGGAGACAAAAGGGAAGCCCGUAGUCAAAGUCAGAUUUGGCAAAACAGAAUUGGGAUCCAAGAUAAAAACAGUCUUAAGAUGGGAAUAAAGAAAAAGUAAUGAUUACCAGGAGCCCCCAGACACACACUGCAUGGAACAGAAGAUCUUGCUGCUUUUCAUUUGCUGAAGAAGCACCAGCCAUUUCUUCGGGAAACUCUUUAUGAUUUUGCCUCCUCGAGAAUUUUACCUGCCUUUUCAGUUAAGCAUCAAGAUUUAUCACACUGACUUCUGGCUAGGGAUGAAUAAGAUGUAACUUGCUGAAUACCACAAAUGAGAGACCUGGAAGCUACUAUGAGCCAUGAAAUUCCCAAAGGCCAUCACUGGUGAAAUACUGGUCGGGCUUCUGGGAAAGGUGAAUAAGAGCAUCAUGGCAAGAUGUCAGCAGUAAAGCAGAGUGGAGACUGAAGCUAAAUUGUUCCCAACUCAGGCGUUCUCUGCUCAUAGAACAAUAGCAGUGGCUAAGGUACAUGAUUGAGUGCUAACUCUAUGCCAACUCUUUUCAUGAAUUAACUCUGACAAAGCCCUGUCAAGUAGACUCCUCUACCCUCCUCAGUACAGGUCCUAUAAGUAAGGAAACUAAGCACAGAAAGCUUAAGUGACUUCUCAAAUCCCACAGCUAGUAAGGAUAGAGCCGGAAUUUGCAUCAAGACACUCUUACUUGGAAGUCUUAGCACUUGGGGUUACUAUGACGACUGCCAAACAGCCAUGACCUCCCAGGCAAGUGACUGCUAAUGUCUAGCUGGACAGCUAGGGAAGAAGCCAAGGAAGGGAUUGACAGGGAGAAUCUAAAAUACACAUAAUUUUCAUAGGGUGUUAGAAUUAGUGCCCAUUUUAAGAAGCAGAUGUUCUGCUUUUCAUCCAAUUUGAACCUUACAGUUUCACAGUGUUUCAAACCAGGCAAUCCCAUACGAAUGCCUCAGCAAUCUUUGCACUACGUAUUCUGAAAAACUGAACAUACAAGACCCAGUCAUCAGGUGAUCAUUAUGAAGAGACAUGUUCUACAGUGAAAAGAAAAAUCUUUUCAGUAUCUUAUUGUCUUAAUUGACCUUUUGUUAACAUGAAAUGAAUUGUACAUGUGACUUGUUUAAAAUCAUUUAUUAUUAUCAGGAGUGCCUUUUAGGUGGACCGCUCUGUAUGACUCUCAUGC